rnacentral:tRNA from 1 species
GCCAGAGUGGUGAAAUUGGCAAACACUACCGACUCAAAAUCGGUCGCCGAAAGGUUUGCGGGUUCGAGUCCCGCCUCUGGCA